AUUGAACGCUGGCGGCAUGCUUAACACACGCAAGUCGAACGGUAACGGGCCCUUCGGGGUGCUGACGAGUGGCGGACGGGUGAGUAAUGCUUAGGAAUCUGCCUAGUAGUGGGGGAUAACCCGGGGAAACUCGGGCUAAUACCGCAUACGCCCUACAGGGGAAAGCGGGGGACUUUCGGGCCUCGCGCUAUUAGAUGAGCCUAAGUCCGAUUAGCUAGUUGGUAGGGUAAUGGCCUACCAAGGCGACGAUCGGAGCUGGUCUGAGAGGACGACCAGCCACACUGGACUGAGACACGGCCCAGACUCCUACGGGAGGCAGCAGUGGGAUAUUGGACAAUAGGGCGCAAGCCUGAUCCAGUGAUGCCGCGUGUGUAGAAGAAGGCC
rnacentral:rRNA from 1 species